CUACAGCCAUCCGUUGCAAAACCCUCAAAACUAAAUCACACUCCUAAUACAUAAUGUAAAGUAAUUACAAACUUGCAACUAAUGUAACUAUGAAACUUGCAGAAACCUGAAAUAUUAGAGAAAAGGAGAAGAUAUAAAAUUACUCAUUCUGUGCCUUAACUUUAUUUAUUUACACGUAAAUAUAUUAUGUAUAUAUAUAAUAUAUUAUAUAUAUCACUGCCUCUUGUCGCUAUACCCACGAGAUUUACAUGUAAAUCAGCUAUUAUCUUCUAUAUAAUCGUCGCUCUCUCGCUAAUACAGAUUUGAAAACAUUCAAGUUCAUCGUUAUUUUCUCUUCUGACAUGUAACAACACAGCGAAAAAGAAGGAAACAAGAAUAACAAAACGGUUAACGUUGAUGGGCCGAGCGCGUGACCGAUUACCUGCAAAUGAAGAAUGUGCUUUUGUCUUUUUUACAAUCGAUUCAGUUCCCUGGCGAGGUGGCGAUCUCCCGGUCGAUAGCGACGCAACGAAGAUCCAGCCUCGAUAAUACUGCUUAGACAAUCGUCCUCUCGUCGAUCCGCCAUCGUUCAGUGCUUUCGCCACUUUCCUGCUUAUUGUCAGAUAAUUUUGAAUAUUGAAAGAGAGCAAGUCACAUGUGAAAUUUUUAUAAAUGCUGAACAGCGACACGAUCGCAUAAAUGCGAAAAUUACAACCUUCCGAUGUUGACGUCGCGAAACAUAAAUCAUGCGAGUUCGCGAUUCGAUAAUAAUGGCACAGGGUGAAAUGGAACUCCCGAGACGUCGUCGCUUCGUUGGCGGCUCUACGUCCGCUCGACUUUUGCAUCGUGAUUACUUUGUUUGAUACCAAUCCGGAUAAAAUUGACAGAGCUUGGUUUGAGAGCACUUUCUUUUAAGAAAUAAUAAAAUUCUGCACAUUUACUUUUUCGUUUGAAAAGAAAAAUCAAAAAAUGUAAAAAAUAAUAUAUUUUAUGUAACAAAUGUAUCACGUGAUUCAAACUUAUAUCUAGACUCGCAUUAUUCGUUAGACCCCGGGAUAAAAUAAUAAAAUUCGUUCUUAUUCGUGUGUAUAUAUGUGUAUGUGUAUUUAAUUUAAUGCACAGUAAAGUGUUCUCGAUUCGAUUUCUCCCUAUUGCACGCGAGAGAACGGCUCGUAUGUAUGUGUAUGUACACUAAGGUCUAACACCAUAUGACAAUUUAAUUAUUAACAAUGUCUUUUACAAAUGAUCUAGCGAUUGAGCAGUGAAAUUUCAGAUGCCUGAAUUGUCGAAAUUUAAAACAUCACUAUUUAAAAUAAUCUUAAAGUCACAAAUGGUUGCCACUGGUCGUGCUCUUUGAGAGCACUGCCUUGCUGCCGACGUGUCUCGCAAAACCAAAAUAUUACACACUUUUACAUAUGAGAGAUACAAAGAAACUGUAAUGUCUAGCCUAUCAGCACGAAACACACGAUUAUUUUUGUUGAAUGUCAUUCCGAUAAAUCCUAAAAGAGAGAAAAAAGAAAAUUCAUACUUAACGUUACAUUCGAAUUUUUUUACCUAUCUUUCUACCUAUCGGAAUACCACGGUGUUCCUUAUCGGUAUCGCGGCACAUUCUAAACGAAGGAUGAGUUCAUCACCUACUCGCGAGAGAACUAUCGCUUGGAACUAUCGCUCACGAGAACUUCUUUCAAUGCCACAUUGCGGACUCGACGACGAGAAACAGUCGUCACGAGCAAGUUUGUCUGAAAUGCUGGCCAACGGAUCCUUUGUCGAACAAUUAAAAUCUCGCUCAGGCACGUGGCUGCCGCUAAUAACUUCCUGCGAAGUAAACGAGGACCGUAUCGCAGGCCUCUCGAAUGCGGAUAUUAGAGGAAAGCUGCUUGGAAGUUGCUUUGGUCAUGCACUCGCUGGUAAAUAUAAACUUAUGGCAUCUGCUGUAUACUUUUAUGUGUACGUACGUGUAUAUGCGUGUGUAUGUAGUAAAUUCGUUGAAAGAACUCUUGAUGGAAGGUGUUCGCCCGGCGUGUCUAAAAAUUCGUUCUCGCCUCAAGUAGGAAAAUCCAUUAGGAAACACGAACUUUAAAACGGUGAAAGAAAAACUUUCUUCGCGUUACAAACCGUAUAAAUACGAUUGUUAGAAAUGCAUCGGCGAACAUGGCCUCUCGAAAAAGUCUCACGAUUUUCGCCCGUAGAAAAUAUAUACAAAUCGUCUCUACGCUCGAAUGGCGAUAUCUGCCGUAGCCUCGCUACUUCGAUUCAUCCUAUUCAAACUCUAACUGUCCCGAUUCGCGUACGCUUUCCGAGGAAUUUUUAAAGUGCAACGGCUCCCCCGAUCACACACGACAGUUAAUCACAUCGAUCAUAUUUUUCUUUCGUGAUGUACAUGUAUAUCGUGUUUCUCUAUAGUGUGUGACUGGCGCGAGAAGCUCUCGUGCAAGCACUCGGAGCAGCUUGUUCAUCGAUAUGCGCUUUCCUGCUUAGCUACCACCGACGCUGCGCUAACAAUGAUUCAGUCUUAAGACGCUUUCACGAAAGCUUUUCUCCGCCAUCGUAACAUCUUCACUAUAUCCAGAAUUAGCGUAUUAAUUAUGUGUCUUGGCACACGUUUUCCUCCCUCGCGUGUGGAUAUCCGGUUCGCGUGAACGUUUCUCAUGCGAUUACUAGCGGCUCGUCGUCUGAAAAACCUC